GAAAAACUCCGGUGGUACAGGAUGGGCCCGCGUCUGAUUAGCUGGUUGGCAGGGUAACGGCCUACCAAGGCAACGAUCAGUAGCCGGUCUGAGAGGAUGAACGGCCACAUUGGAACUGAGACACGGUCCAAACUCCUACGGGAGGCAGCAGUGGGGAAUAUUGCACAAUGGGGGAAACCCUGAUGCAGCAACGCCGCGUGAGUGAAGAAGUAUUUCGGUAUGUAAAGCUCUAUCAGCAGGGAAGAUAAUGACGGUACCUGACUAAGAAGCUCCGGCUAACUACGUGCCAGCAGCCGCGGUAAUACGUAGGGAGCGAGCGUUGUCCGGAAUUACUGGGUGUAAAGGGUGCGUAGGCGGCAAAUCAAGUCAGAUGUGAAAUACCGAGGCUUAACCUCGGAGCUGCAUUUGAAACUGAAUUGCUUGAGUGAAGUAGAGGCAAGCGGAAUUCCCGGUGUAGCGGUGAAAUGCGUAGAGAUCGGGAGGAACACCAGUGGCGAAGGCGGCUUGCUAGGCUUCAACUGACGCUGAGGCACGAAAGCGUGGGUAGCAAACAGGAUUAGAUACCCUGGUAGUCCACGCUGUAAACGAUGAUUACUAGGUGUGGGCGGAUAGACCGUCCGUGCCGGAGUUAACACAAU
rnacentral:rRNA from 1 species